ACCAGACUCCUACGGGAGGCAGCAGUGGGGGAUAUUGGACAAUGGGGGAAACCCUGAUGCAGCGACGCCGCGUGAGUGAAGAAGUAUUUCGGUAUGUAAAGCUCUAUCAGCAGGGAAGAAAUACUGACCUUACGGUCAGCAGACGGUACCUGACUAAGAAGCCCCGGCUAACUACGUGCCAGCAGCCGCGGUAAUACGUAGGGGGCAAGCGUUAUCCGGAUUUACUGGGUGUAAAGGGAGCGUAGACGGCAGCGCAAGUCUGAAGUGAAAUCCCAUGGCUUAACCAUGGAACUGCUUUGGAAACUGUGCAGCUGGAGUGCAGGAGAGGUAAGCGGAAUUCCUAGUGUAGCGGUGAAAUGCGUAGAUAUUAGGAGGAGCACC
rnacentral:rRNA from 1 species